AUGCGGUGGUGGCAGUGCCGCCUCGCGGCUGCCGUGGCCCUGGCCGCCGCCGUGCUGGCUCUGGGCGCCGUGGGGCCGCGCUCGCCGGCGCCACUGCGGUUCGCGCCGGGUGGCCGGUUCAAGGUGGCGCUGUUCGCCGACCUGCAUUACGGCGAGAACGCCUGGACGGACUGGGGCCCCGCGCAGGACGACGCCUCCGACCACGUCAUGGCCGCCGUGCUCGACGCCGAGAAGCCAGACUUCGUGGUGUACCUCGGCGACCUCGUGACGGCGAACAACGUGCCGGUCGCCAACGCGAGCCUGUACUGGGACCGGGCGAUCUCCCCGGCCAGGCGCAGGGGCGUCCCGUGGUCCACGGUGUUCGGCAACCACGACGACAUGCCCUUCGAGUGGCCGCCGGAGUGGUUCUCCCCCGCGGGCGUCCCGCCGGUGCACUGCCCGCCUGCCGUGCCGGCCAUGCCGGACCCAGGGUGCAGCUUCCGGGGCACGCCGCGGGUCGAGCUGAUGACGGCCGAGCUCGACCGGGCUUGCGGGCUGUCGCGCUCCUCGGUCGGCCCCAGGGAGCUCUGGCCCGGCGUCUCCAACUACGUGCUGCAGGUGCUCUCGCGCGAGAGGCCGGAGGACCCUGCUCUGCUCAUGUACUUCCUCGACUCCGGCGGCGGAUCCUACCCGGAGGUCGUAUCCUGCGCACAGGUCACGUGGUUCCAGAGCCAGGCUCGGUUCCUCAAUCCAGACGGCAGGAUCCCUGAGCUGGUAUUCUGGCACAUACCGAGCACGGCCUACGUCAAAGUGGCUCCAAAGGCCACGAGCGAGGUCAGGAAGCCCUGCGUCGGCAGUCUCAACGAGGAAGACGUGGCGCCACAGGUGGCCGAAUGGGGCAUCAUGUGUAGUCUAAGCCUAAGGCCUUCAGUUAAGGCGAUCUUCGUGGGGCACAACCACGGGCUGGACUGGUGCUGCCCCUACGAGAAACUCUGGCUGUGCUUCGCGCGGCACACGGGGCACGGAGGAUACGGUGACUGGCCAAGAGGGGCGAGGAUCGUUGACAUCUCUGAAAAAAAGCAUUUCUCUGUCAACUCUUGGAUCCGGAUGGAGAAUGGGUCAACGCACAGCCAUGUUACCUUGAGCUCUGCUCGGUUUAAUUAG
rnacentral:rRNA from 1 species